rnacentral:rRNA from 1 species
AUACGUAGGGGGCGAGCGUUGUCCGGAAUGAUUGGGCGUAAAGGGCGCGUAGGCGGCCCGGUAAGUCUGGAGUGAAAGUCCUGUUUUUAAGAUGGGAAUUGCUUUGGAUACUGUCGGGCUUGAGUGCAGGAGAGGUUAUCGGAAUUCCCGGUGUAGCGGUGAAAUGCGUAGAGAUCGGGAGGAACACCAGUGGCGAAGGCGGGUAACUGGACUGCAACUGACGCUGAGGCGCGUAAGUGUGGGGAGCAAACAGGAUUAGAUACCCUGGUAGUCCACACUGUAAACGAUGAAUGCUAGGUGUAAGAGGUAUCGACCCCUUUUGUGCCGGAGUUAACACAAUAAGCAUUCCGCCUGGGGAGUACGGCCGCAAGGUUGAAACUCAAAGGAAUUGGCGGGG